rnacentral:rRNA from 1 species
UACAGAGGUCUCAAGCGUUGUUCGGAUUCAUUGGGCGUAAAGGGUGCGUAGGCGGCGCGGUAAGUCGGGUGUGAAAUCUCGGAGCUUAACUCCGAAACUGCAUUCGAUACUGCCGUGCUUGAGGACUGGAGAGGAGACUGGAAUUUACGGUGUAGCGGUGAAAUGCGUAGAUAUCGUAAGGAAGACCAGUGGCGAAGGCGGGUCUCUGGACAGUUCCUGACGCUAGGAGCACGAAGGUCAGGGGAGCAAACGGG